GUAAGGCACUUGCCUUUCAUGCAGAAGGUCAUUGGUUUGAAUCCCGGCAUCCCAUAUGGCCCCCCAAGGCUGCCAGGAACAAUUUCUGAGCAUAGAGCCAGGAUAACCUCUGAGCGCUGCCGGAUGUGACCCAAAAUCCAAAAAAAAAAGAAAAGAAAAAGAAAAAGAAAAA